GACUUCGUAGCUCAGCUGGUGGAGCGCUGCUUGUCGCGUUGAGGCAUGGUGUUUCUUUCGCUGGUUCGAAUGCAGCCGAAGUCC